rnacentral:rRNA from 1 species
GAUGAACGCUAGCGGCAGGCUUAACACAUGCAAGUCGAGGGGUAGGAUUCUUCGGAAUCUGAGACCGGCGCACGGGUGCGUAACGCGUAUGCAAUCUGCCUUUCACAGAGGGAUAGCCCAGAGAAAUUUGGAUUAAUACCUCAUAGCAUAAUGAGUUGGCAUCAGCACAUUAUUAAAGUCACAACGGUGAAAGAUGAGCAUGCGUCCCAUUAGCUAGUUGGUAAGGUAACGGCUUACCARGGCAACGAUGGGUAGGGGUCCUGAGAGGGAGAUCCCCCACACUGGUACUGAGACACGGACCAGACUCCUACGGGAGGCAGCAGUGAGGAAUAUUGGUCAAUGGGCGCAAGCCUGAACCAGCCAUGCCGCGUGCAGGAUGACGGUCCUAUGGAUUGUAAACUGCUUUUGUA